rnacentral:rRNA from 1 species
UCCAGAGGUCUCGAGCGUUGUUCGGAUUCAUUGGGCGUAAAGGGCUCGUAGGCGGCCAACUAAGUCAGACGUGAAAUCCCUCGGCUUAACCGGGGAACUGCGUCUGAUACUGGAUGGCUUGAGUUUGGGAGAGGGAUGCGGAAUUCCAGGUGUAGCGGUGAAAUGCGUAGAUAUCUGGAGGAACACCGGUGGCGAAGGCGGCAUCCUGGACCAACACUGACGCUGAGUGAGCGAAAGCCAGGGGAGCAAACGGG